UACGAAGGGGCUAGCGUUGCUCGGAAUCACUGGGCGUAAAGGGUGCGUAGGCGGGUCUUUUAAGUCAGGGGUGAAAUCCUGGAGCUCAACUCCAGAACUGCCUUGAUACUGAAGAUCUUGAGUUCGGGAGAGGUGAGUGGAACUGCGAGUGUAGAGGUGAAAUUCGUAGAUAUUCGCAAGAACACCAGUGGCGAAGGCGGCUCACUGGCCCGAUACUGACGCUGAGGCACG
rnacentral:rRNA from 1 species